UGUUCUUUAAAUGAGGACUCGUAUCAAUGGCACCACGAGGACUUUACUGUCUCCUUUUUCUAAUCAGUGAAACUAAUCUUCCCGUGAAGAAGCGGGAAUAAAUAGAUAAGACGAGAAGACCCCAUGGAGCUUUAAGCUUACUGCACCUCUAUUUUCUAUAACCUCUUAUUAAACGGAAUACUGCUUACUUAGCUUUAGGUUGGGGUGACCGCGGAGUAUAACAUAACCUCCAUGAUGAACAAAACUAUUUUCUUAUCUAAGAACAACAGUUCUAAGAAUUAGUAUUCUAACAUAAAAUGAUCCGAUAAUCGAUCAACGGACUAAGUUACCCUGGGGAUAACAGCGCAAUCCAUUUCAAGAGCCCCUAUCGACAAAUGGGUUUACGACCUCGAUGUUGGAUCAGGAUAUCCUAGUGGUGCAGCAGCUACUGAAGGUUCGUUUGUUCAACGAUUAAAAUCCU
rnacentral:rRNA from 1 species